UCUGGUUGAUUCUGCCAGUAGUCAUAUGCUUGUCUCAAAGAUUAAGCCAUGCAUGUCUAAGUAUAAGCAAUUAUACAGCGAAACUGCGAAUGGCUCAUUAUAUAAGUUAUCGUUUAUUUGAUAGUACCUUACUACUUGGAUAACCGUGGUAAUUCUAGAGCUAAUACAUGCUAAAAAUCCCGACUUCGGAAGGGAUGUAUUUAUUAGAUUAAAAACCAAUGCCCUCUGGGCUCCUUGGUGAUUCAUAAUAACUUUUCGAAUCGCACGGCCUUGCGCCGGCGAUGGUUCAUUCAAAUUUCUUCCCUAUCAACUUUCGAUGUUUGGGUCUUGGCCAAACAUGGUCGCAACGGGUAACGGAGGGUUAGGGCUCGACCCCGGAGAAGGAGCCUGAGAAACGGCUACUACAUCCAAGGAAGGCAGCAGGCGCGCAAAUUACCCAAUCCCGAUUCGGGGAGGUAGUGACAAUAAAUACUGAUACAGGGCUCUUUUGGGUCUUGUAAUUGGAAUGAGUACAAUUUAAAUCUCUUAACGAGGAACAAUUGGAGGGCAAGUCUGGUGCCAGCAGCCGCGGUAAUUCCAGCUCCAAUAGCGUAUAUUAAAGUUGUUGUGGUUAAAAAGCUCGUAGUUGAACCUUGGGCCUGGCUGGCCGGUCCGCCUCACCGCGUGCACUGGUCCGGCCGGGCCUUUCCCUCUGUGGAACCCCAUGCUCUUCACUGAGUGUGGCGGUGAAACAGGACUUUUACUUUGAAAAAAUUAGAGUGCUCCAGGCAGGCCUAUGCUCGAAUACAUUAGCAUGGAAUAAUAAAAUAGGACGCGUGGUUCUAUUUUGUUGGUUUCUAGGACCGCCGUAAUGAUUAAUAGGGACAGUCGGGGGCAUCAGUAUUCAAUUGUCAGAGGUGAAAUUCUUGGAUUUAUUGAAGACUAACUACUGCGAAAGCAUUUGCCAAGGAUGUUUUCAUUAAUCAGGAACGAAAGUUAGGGGAUCGAAGACGAUCAGAUACCGUCGUAGUCUUAACCAUAAACUAUGCCGACUAGGGAUCGGACGAUGUUAUUUUUUGACGCGUUCGGCACCUUACGAGAAAUCAAAGUGCUUGGGCUCCAGGGGAGUAUGGUCGCAAGGCUGAAACUUAAAGAAAUUGACGGAAGGGCACCACCAGGGGUAAACCGCUUCGCGCAGCCGCAGUAGCUCUGCCCCAGAAAGCAGCCCGAAAGGGUCAGUGGUGUUCCUGCCAGCGCUCCGGCGCGGCGAACUAAUUGCUAGUCUCCUCUGGAGGCGACACCCUCAAAUUGCGGGAAAAUCCUAAAGCCAGUGUCACCAAGCCGGCG
rnacentral:rRNA from 1 species